ACUCCUGCGGGAGGCAGCAGUGGGGAAUUUUGGACAAUGGGCGAAAGCCUGAUCCAGCAAUGCCGCGUGAGUGAAGAAGGCCUUCGGGUUGUAAAGCUCUUUUGUCAGGGAAGAAACGGUGAGAGCUAAUAUCUCUUGCUAAUGACGGUACCUGAAGAAUAAGCACCGGCUAACUACGUGCCAGCAGCCGCGGUAAUACGUAGGGUGCAAGCGUCAAUCGGAAUUACUGGGCGUAAAGCGUGCGCAGGCGGUUUUGUAAGUCUGAUGUGAAAUCCCCGGGCUCAACCUGGGAAUUGCAUUGGAGACUGCAAGGCUAGAAUCUGGCAGAGGGGGGUAGAAUUCCACGUGUAGCAGUGAAAUGCGUAGAUAUGUGGAGGAACACCGAUGGCGAAGGCAGCCCCCUGGGUCAAGAUUGACGCUCAUGCACGAAAGCGUGGGGAGCAAACAGGAUUAGAAACCCGAGUAGUCCCA
rnacentral:rRNA from 1 species